rnacentral:sRNA from 1 species
ACUCAAGAUGGGUGGCCUAGAUGCAUGAAGCAGUAUUAUCAUCCUCUUUCUCGUUUAAAACCUUCCAUGAUCACAUCCCGCUUCCAGCAAGCAAUGGCCCUGCGCGCCUAGAAGUUCAACUUGCUCCGAGAAAACCUCAUCUGUAGGUGUUUUCCUUUCAAGAAAAAGCUGGCUGGAGAAGCUUCCCAACAAAGACGAGUAAAAAUUGCUCCAAUGCAAUCGCCACGAGAAAUCUGCCCACAGAGGGACGUCUUCCGCCUCCCAUAACACAAUUGAUUUCAGAAAAUCAGAGGGGAUAGAAUAGAGUUCAACAUAUUGGAAGAGGAGGGAAAUUAACCUCAAAUUCGAGUUCCUGUUGCAAAGGAAAAUGGCACGUAGCCGCGAUAUGUACACGCACAUGUACGUAACGUCUGGGGAGCACUAUGUGCCACGAAGUAUGGCUUCUGUGGUUCACAGUCCUCAAAGUCAAACGUACCCAGGUAAUUGUCACUUGAGCUAGCCAUGUAUGCUGGUGCUGGAAGCGCUAGGUUGAUUAAUGUGGGCGCCUUGAUCAUUGGUCGAUCCGGG